CUUUUUUUUUUUUUUUUUUUUUUUUGUAUUUUUAGAAGAGGUGGGGUUUCACUGUGUUAGCCAGGAUGGUCUCGAUCUCUUGACCUCGUGAUCCGCCCACCUUGGCCUCCCAAAGUGCUGGGAUUACAGGUGUGAGCCACCGUGCCUGGCCAAUUUUAACUUCUUUAUAUUAAAUGGUUAAACUAACUAAUGCCUGGCCUCUGGGAGGGCAGUCCCGUUUGUUUUGUUGACUGCAAUACUCAUCGCCUUACAAAUGCAUGUACUAUCAGCCAUUGCCUGCCCCUCCCCCAUUUCUAUGACUUCUCCAGUAGACUUAGUCAUCCUUUCUAUACUUUUAAACUAGUUAGAUGACUGUACUCAAUUCCCUAGCGAGGCCUUCCUGCUGCCAACCUGACGGUGAUGCCCGUGCUGCCAGCUCUCUGUCCUACCUUGGUCCACUGUGGAGGCGUUAACAGUCACCUGUGGUCUUGUUCUGUUUUCUCAAUUGCUUAGUCUUUUGUAACAUUUGCUGUCCUCUCUCAGUUCCCAUCACCUUUUUUUGGCUCCUCUGUGCCAGGCACAUUAUGCUAUCUGUGGGAGGUAGACAGGUUCCCACCCUUGCUUAUUCGGAGCAGGGAAAGUUCUACUGAUUUCAUUUCAUAAAAGAAUACCAGUGAUAAAAGUACUUGAAAACCACUGCUUUGUGGAAUGGGUAAUGCAGCAGACUUUCAAAAGCAAUUUAGAAAACAAAUUGUCGUCCAGGCUGGAGUGCAAUGGCACAAUCAUGGUUCACUGGAGCCUUGACCUCCCAGGUUCAAGCGAUCCUCCAGCCUCAGUCUCCUUAGUAGUAGGCUCAUGACACCACGCCUGGCUAAUUUUUAAUUUUUUUGCAGAGCUGGCGGGGUGGGGGUCCCAUAUGUUGCCCAGGCUGGUCUCGACCACCUGGGUUCAAGCAACCCACCUGCCUCAGCCUCCCAAAGUUCUGCAAUUACAGGUGUGAACCACUGCACCCAGCCACAAAGCAAUUCUUGAAAAGCAACCAGGGUUGGCUUCCAAAUGCUCAGCCCUAUCAUGGGUCUCAUCCUAUGGCCUUAGUGCCUUCCUCCUCCUUGUGUAGUUGGUUCCAUCUCAGAAAACCUACAUUUCCUAGCCUGUAAAGCUUAGCCCACUCCCCAUGGAAUGGGAACAAUUUAGUAGUUUAAAGGAAGUAUUAAGAAAGAGCACUCUCUGGGAUUAAAGAGGGGGCAGGCUGAAGGAAUGAUGGCACGGCCACUGGGUCACUGCCUGACUCUCCAAACUGGUCUCAGAACUGGCCCCUCUGCACAUGGACUGCUAGCUCGAGGGCCCGCACUGCUGAAUGGCAGCACAUCUUCCUACAGUGCCCUGUUUCAGGCUUGAAAACUUUGCCCUCGUG
ensembl:lncRNA